GAAAAAACGCUAACCUCCGCCAUCCCCACGCCGCGCCGCCCGCCUGACCUCAGCCACGCACACGCUGCCCUCCCCACGCCGCCGCGCCGCCCGCCGUCCCCAUGCCACCGCGCUGCCCGCCGUCUACCGCCACCGCCCCGCGCGCGCACCUGCCGGAGCCGCUCGCUCUACCCCACCACUUCCUCACACGCGGCCGUCGCCGCCUCGGAUCUGUGUGUCGCCGCUGUCUACUCCCCAGCCCCGCGACUACUCCGCCGUCCACGGUUCGUCGCUGUCGCCCGUCGUCCGUGGCCACAUAGCCGUGUGAUCCCCCAUCCCUAUAUCCCCGUCGCGCCGCCUCGCCAUAUCCAGAUCACCACGACGAUUCCUCCAGAACGAAGAGCUGCUCUCCUUUCUCGGCUCCUCCGUUGGGAUCGAGAAGCUAUUCGGACAACCUCCACUCCAACCAAGCACCGCCAGAGAGGACAGAGCUGGGGCUGAGGUGGGGAGAAGAGGAGCCAGCCGCCGGUCGGCCCGUCCGUCGCUGCCCCCGUGCUCCCACCUCCUGCUUUCACGCCGACUGCCACUGCUCUUCCGGACUGGCAGAGCCCAAGCAGUAGGAGGCACCGAUGAAGGUGAUGAGGACUUGAGAUGAGGCAGUAUGCAGGCUUGCAGAGAUGCAAAUUAGGCGUUAAUUUCUUCAGGUCCCUUCUUGCAGCAGGAAUUGCUCAAAUCAGGUACCUUCCUACACCUGACAGUGUGCCCCCUGUUCCAGCGGCGGUUACAAAGAUAUCAACUUUGCCGGCUGUAUCCUUCCAGAUCUCAGGUCCUGACAUUUUCAGAAAAUGAACAUGUGUAUCAUAUAAAGCAAAGUUAUGGACAGUAGAUGAUAAAACAUUGUUGUGAGGCUGUGUUUAGUUCACACUGAAGUUUGGAAGUUUGAUUGAAAGUUUUCUAUCACGAUGUGAUAGAAAAGUUGUGUGUGUAUGAAAGGUUUGAUGUGAUGGAAAGUUGGAAGUUUGGAAAAAAACUUUGCAUAUCACUGAAGUGUGGAUUUCCAGAAUUAUUUACCAGUCCA